rnacentral:lncRNA from 1 species
GUAAGGUCACACCAGCCACCUGGGUGCCCCGCACAUGGCGCCCUCCUGCGAGGACUGACUUCCUGUCUGACACCCGUUGGUAGAGUUGGGAAACUAGUAUUUUAAAUGAGUCUCUACUGUGCUCUGGGCAACAGGCCAGAUUCUAAAGCUAUGACAUCGCAUGAACGCCUGGUAACCCUUCCAGGGUGGCGUCAGCCCUUCUUCCCCUGGAUGGACCACUUUUUCCACCUGUGGAGAGGAGUGACACAACUUGCACCUUGGGUGAACAGUCCUUUAGCCUAGAGGACAGACAGCAUUGAGUCUCUCUCUGGUACCUCUUGGAGGCCACAACCCUAGCUUUAGGUCCUCUGGUGGAUGAGCACCAAGUGAGGAGGACUUGCCCUAGCUGUGCUGAGUGGAGGACAGAUGGCUCGUGGUGAUGUGCUGAGUCUAGUUGUCUGUGUGACAUAGUG